AAAUAGUGUCUGUAAAAAACUGUGUGGGAAAAUGUGUAUAUUAUCGAUUUGAAAUACGAAUAACGAUUAUAAAAAACUUUCUCGCAGAAGUAUAAGUGCUUCUAUGUCGGUUUAACAGUCGGUAUCAUCUGAACAAAUGCGUUGACAUUGGAUUCUUUUAAAACAUCUCGAGAGCGGAAUCAAAUGUCACUUGGAGACUUGAUUAGCCUUUACUGACAUCGAUAUACACAAACAUGUCAUGGGGGAACUUGUCGGAGGAAGAUAAUCGUCACAGUUCUUGGGGAUCGAAUGAAUCCAGGCCCGGCUCCUGGGGAUGUAGCGGAUGGGGAGCAAGUGAAACAAGCUCGAAUAUUAGAUGUACUGAGUAUCUUGCUUGGGGGUCCAGUGAAUGGGGAACAAGCGUUCCUGGACCUACAAGUUGGGGGACUAAUGGCUUUGGUUCCAGUUCCUCAAAUUCAAAUGACUGGGGCUCUAGCGGUUUAGGGCCUAGCAAGAAGUCUGAAGGGAUUGUUAAACAUCGAUUCUGGUGCACAGAAGGUAUACGGACGUGGGGAGGAAGCAGUUAUAGAUAUGACGAAAGUUGUCCCGGAUGUCGCAGGGAUAGAGCAAUCGGACGGGCAAAUACAAACAGUGGCAGCGCCGUCAUUCCAUUAGUAUCACUGUUUGUUGGAAGCAGGCCAAAAAUAGCAAAGAAAAGUUUAUGGGAUAACUGAGGCUGUAUACAUUUCAUUGUUGUUUAUUGUGUAGCUUGUUUUGAAAAAAAGUGCAAUAUUGUAUAAACAAACUAUUUGCAGUUGCAAUAAAAAUGUAGUUAUAUUAUUCGAGGUAUUCUUUCUGUUCUGGUUGUAAAUGAUAGGAUAUACGUAAAUAAAUACUAUUAAAUCUUGAGAAUCUUUGAUACUUAUAUUGUCAUCCAUUUACUUUGAUAAGUGUAUUGAAUUUUAUUAUAAAACAAGUAGGUGUGGAGUGCAUUUUUUUCAAAUGAAAAUAUAUUCUUAAUUUCUUAUCAAGAUGACCCUAUGUAAAAAAAUAGAAGAAGGAUAAUCCUUCGAAGAAUUAAUUACAAAAAAAUACAUGAAAAUUGCAGACUCGGUUUAACUGGGUCUUUCCAUGGGGGAUAAUGAAAAGGCCCAACAUUUCUCAUGCCCCCUAGCACCGGCUCUAGCGGUACUCAAUUUCCAACGCUUAAAAGUGCUGGAAUCAAUGAUCCCGACCGACCAGAAACAUAUAACAACACUGAAGUGAAGUACGGGCCGUCUACUUUCUACAUAGGUUGGGACAUUUAUCGUUUCAUUGAUUUGAAAAAGAACCACACAUUAAGUACAUGUAUAUAGAAAUUUGCCAGCUUAAAUAUUUAAUGGUCGACACUCCACAGUAAAUGACAAGGAGAAUGCGUAAUAAAAUAAUCGCAAAUAAUAUUAUAAAUAUCCACAAUAUACUAAUAAAGUUUAAUUCUGUUUUGAAUUUGAUUUGUUUACAUUGAAGUUUUUCCAUAAAACUUAUUUUCACAAUUAGACACUUCUUUGUGGGUAACAUAAAAUCCUUCUUACAAUCAUCAUUUGGACUUUAAGAUGUUUGUUAUAUCCACGUUCAAAAAGUGUAUUGUUUUGACAGGUUUUCUUUUCGUUUGUUUUUGUUUUGUUUUCCUUUUUUUAAUGUUCUUUUGUUUUCUUUCUGUAAAAUAAAUCAUACAUUCGAAUUACAUCUCAAAGUAAGAGCGCAGUAGUUCUUUCACCUAUACAUGAUUCCGAUAUUUACGUCAUUGUCAGACAAGUUUAAGAGUUUGUCAUAAUAUGUCUUAUAAUUAUCUAUUCUUAUCACUGCUACAAGUAAAUGAAAUGUUACACAUAAUUCUUCAUUGUUCAUCUUAUCUUUAAUUAUUUCACUAAUAACCUCUUAAUUGCAUUUUACUAGCUUUUAUAGGGAGGUGGGGGCCAUCAACAGAACCGUUAGGUUUAAGAAUAACACUGGAAAAGAAAAAUUUAGUAUUUGAUGCCAACGACGUUCUCAAUAUAAAAAAAAACAAGCUGUUAGGCGCUGAGUUCAUACUGACAUGUAAACUUGGCAGUUAUUCAGAUUUGUACCUCUAAAACACAAUUAGUAAAACAUAUGAUAUUACUUUUGUUGUUUUUCAUCAUUCUAGGAAAGUUGAUUAACUGACAAAGUGAAUAAUAUUAUGUGAAGAAAUUCUUGAUUCAAAUUUGCCAUCAAGAUAAGAGGUGAUGAAUUCGGGCAACUCGUUUAGUGGAAGCUGGUCAAGCAACAGUUUUAGUAACGGAAGUAGGAGUAGCUCUGGAGAUAGUUGGUGUGCCAGUUCAUGGGGAAGCAACUCUGGCGACAAAUACCCAGAAGGCAUACACAAAUCUUCUUGUAUUGGUGGAUCUGGAUAUUCGGGAACGUGUAGAUUCAUGACGAGAUAUCAUAAUGAAAGUUGUUCGGGCUGUCGACAUGAAAAGACCAAAUCUUCAUCAUCAAAUGAACGAAAAUCACUAAGGGUUGUUGGUCUUUUUGGAUUUUGAAGAACGUACAAGGUUAACUAACUUUUGAUAAGGUCAACAGCUCUAAUUAAUACGGCAGGUACACAAUGUAAUGUUCACAGUGAUUCAGUAUUAAACAAUGAAAUAUGUCACAAUGCUAUAUUACAUUUUAGAGAAGAAACUGCUUGACUGAAUAGAAUAAAAUAGAAAAAAUUAUAACCUUGACGGUGAUCAAGUCUUUGUGUUCAAAGGUCCUGUGCAUUCGUGACCAUUCACUUGUAAAUCAAGCAUUAAGUGAUUCCUAAAGCCGUGAUAUUCAAGGACAUUGGUUUCUUGCAUAUCAGACAUGAUCAUCUAUUGGGGCUAGAAAAACCUGUCAUACACCCCUCGUGUAAAACAUUUUAUGAAUGGUGUCCUUAGAAUGACGUCAUUUUAUCAUUAUACAUGAAAUUGUAAAUUCAUACGCUAAGAAAACAGUGCUAACUGAUAAUGCAAGUUUUUUGUUAUUUCUUUCCGAGAUAUGUAGAAUAAGUAAUAUGCAAGAAAAAGGAAUAAAAAAUCUCGGCUAACGGCAGAGCUUUUUACCGCCGUAAGCAGUUACCCUCGGGCUAGAUAUUCCUGUCUGUACCGGCAGUCAGUGUAAGGUUCCUAUAAUAUUUUAAGUGAUUACUUUAGUAUUUCAACAAUUACAUUAAAAAGCAAUAUUAUUACUGAUACUGUUUUGAAGAAAUAUCCAAAAAUGUCAAUUUGAGAAAAUUGUAUGCAAAAUAAAAUACGAAAUAUCUUUUGAAGAAAAUCAGAAAUAUACCGAUUUUGGAGUGUGUUUGUUCAAAUCAUAAUAAUUAUUUUAUCAUUACUCAGAUUGUUUAUUUAUUGCUAGUAUUUUCCACAAUAGCCGUUUAGUUUCUUUUCUAUAUAUUUAUAAAAUAUGUUUAAUUUGUACUUGUUGUGUAAGGUAUAUUGUAAUAAAAUGCUGAAGUUUAA